UGGAUUCUUGGUUGUAAUUUGCAGGGCAAUCCUUGGAAGUGUUAGUGAUCACUGCGCCAAACAUGCAGGAUUCUUGGUUGUAAUUUCCUACAANUCUAUUUUAAGGUAUUGGUCCUUUGUUGCUAGAAUUCUUUUAAAAUUAAAAAUUUAUUUUAAUCAUGCCGUAGUUGCUAGUAUUAGUAUGUUAUGUCCAAUUAAUGAUAAAAUGAAUUAACC
rnacentral:lncRNA from 1 species